GGUGUUCAGAGCAAAUGACUUUCAAU
rnacentral:piRNA from 1 species